AUGUACCAUUCGUACAUUGCGAUUGCUCCGCGCCGUCCGCACCCAUCUGGCGACUGCUCGUUACAUUUUGUUAGCC
rnacentral:sRNA from 1 species